UCAAGUAAGGUACAGCUUACUUGAAACAGGAUACAACCUCUUACAACGGGUAAUAAUUUAUUUUUUCCCUAAGUUGGCUUAAAAGCAGCCACCUUUCAAAAAGCGUCAAAGCUUUAUUUUACCCAUUUUCACCCCCCCCCGAACCCUUCACUCAUACUGAGUAAUUCUAUAAACCUAUAGAAUAUUUUAUGUUAAAACUAGUAACAAGAAGCCGCGCUUCUCUUUUAUACAAGUGUACACCGACAAGACCCCCCAUCGGCUCCUAACAGCCAUGAUGCUAAGUAACACCUCCCCAAGAAGACCUUACUUAAAAUUCUGUUACCCUAACACAAGAGUAUACCAAGAAAGAUUAAAAGAAAAAGAAGGAACUCGGCAAACAUUGAUUCCGCCUGUUUACCAAAAACAUCGCCUCUUGCACCAUAUAAGAGGUCCAGCCUGCCCAGUGACUCUGUUUAACGGCCGCGGUAUCCUGACCGUGCGAAGGUAGCAUAAUCACUUGUCUUUUAAAUAAAGACUAGUAUGAAAGGCAUCACGAGAAUCCAGCUGUCUCCUAUUUCUAAUCAGUGAAACUAAUCUCCCAGUGAAAAAGCUGGGAUAAUUAUGCAAGACGAGAAGACCCUAUGGAGCUUCAAACUAAAUGACACCCGCUCCCAUCCAAUUCAAUUUUCUGAAAAAUUACCUCAAUGAGCGGACUGACCAUAAGUUUUUGGUUGGGGCGACCGCGGAGUAAAACCCACCCCCCGCAAUGAUAUAGACUUAGCCUUAAGAUAAGAGCUACAGCUCAAAAAAUCAGUAUACUGACAUCAAUUGACCCAAUAUUUUGAUCAACGAACCAAGUUACCCUAGGGAUAACAGCGCAAUCCGCUUCGAGAGUACAUAUCGACAAGCAGGUUUACGACCUCGAUGUUGGAUCAGGGCAUCCUAGUGGUGCAGCCGCUACUAAAGGUUCGUUUGUUCAACGAUUAAAGCCCUACGUGAUCUGAG
rnacentral:rRNA from 1 species